rnacentral:lncRNA from 10 species
GGAGGGGCGGGGAGGGGAGGGGGGAUGCAACCUCGAGGAGGAAAGGAACGAAAGAGGAAGGGAGGGAUCUCACUUAAGGGGACCCGAGGGGAGGAGAAAUGGGGACGGGGCGUGCCAGGAGGGCGGGGUGGGCGGAGGGAGCCGCGGGAGGCUGAAGCACGGAGGAACCAGGGUAGGAAGGGAAGGAUGCGAGUGGGACGGGAGAGAAACGGGGCUGGCGCCUGAGGUCUGAAGUGGGAGUAUGAGUCGAUACAGUGAAGCACUGAGGAUGUGGGGGAGAGGAAACGGUUUUGGAGGGAACGAGUUGGGUACGGAAGGGAGGCUGGUUUGAGGGAGUGGUGGGGUCGUGGAAGGGAGCCUGGGGCUGGGUAGACAGAAGCCUAAGAAAGGGAGACAGGACAUGGAAUUGAGAAAAGACGAGGGAAGGGGUACACGGAAGGAAAAGAUGUGGGGAAGAGCGCGAGAGGCCUGGCCAGGGUUGGGAUGGGUGGGACAGGCUGAGAAAGUCCAUUAGGUGAAAUCCUAGGAGGCAGCAGGCUGGAAAAGGUUCCAGCGAAGGUCGCAAGGAACCCCACAGGGGAAAACGUGGUGGGAGCUCAGGGUCUCCCAGCACCCUGCCGCCCUCUGCUGGGCUCUGCCUGACACCGGCGAGGCUCAGUCUGGGAGGAGGUGGAGCCCAGGGAAGUGUAGCCAAGCAGGGACAAGGAGAGACCGCAGCCUCGUGGAAAACCGGGACUGGAGGCAGGAAACAGCAGGAAAGACGGGGAUCAGAGAAGAGUUACCACUGGCGCCCAGCUUCCCUGGCCUGAUCCCCAGCCCCCUCCCACACCUGUCCAUGCUGAAGACCGGGGAGAGCAGAAGCCUGCGUUUCUGAGGGGAGGGUGCCUGGGGAUAAGAACAAGGUGGGUCUGGGGGUAAGGGGGUCAGGACUUAUUUUCUUCUUCGAUUUUUCAUAGGACAACAGAAUUUGAGACGGGAAUGCCAAUAGCUAAGUUUGGGGCAGAUCUUGGUUCUGUGGUGCCUGAAUAUUACAAAAUUGGGAGUCUUUAAGAAAAAAAAUUACACAUACAAUUGGCUUUAAGCAAUUGCUGUUAAAAUCUUAUUUCUGCAAUUUUUACAAAAGCCUGUUACCAUAUGAACACAUAUCCAUCGAGCCCUCUAUAUUAUUAGAGCACAGGAAGAGGGCCCUGUAGGUGAGGAACCUUGAAGUCUAAGUUUCAGUAGUGUCAUAAGUCCACCCCUGGAUGGGACUCUCAAUUUCCAGAAUAAAAUGGUAAACUAGAAGCAGAAUAACUGAGUUAUGUGAGGAAAGUAAAGCCCAAGGAUCUUGAAAGAAUCUACCAGGGUAGAGGAAGUAUGAGGCAUACAAAUGGGAUGACUGCAUCCCAGGAGAGAAGAUGGCAGAGAGUUCGGGUGCCUAGAAAAGGGAGAGUUUGUAAAAUUACGUGGCAAAAAAAAAAAAAAAAAAGUAGACAGACACAACACUGAUUCCCUUAGGGAAUAAUGGAGGUUGUCUAGGAAGUACAGAAAAGGACCUGUCUUCUUCCCACCCCAUCCCUGAGUUGUUCUUCAUCUUCUGAUAAUGCUGCCUCCAAUUUUAAGUCUUUUACCCUAAUAUGUUUCCACCCCCAG